rnacentral:lncRNA from 1 species
CUUUAUACAGAAGAACAGUGCUGAAAAAAGCAUUACGAAUGUUUAUACUGAUAUCGACUAUUUUACUGUCACGUCUACUCUUGCUCCUCGCCUCUGGCGUUGGAUGUCGCCGGAAUACUAACCACCUGUCCUGGGAUACAUCAAUACGCACACCUGGCAUUCUUCAUUACACGCACCUGUUGAUCAUUAUGAUUCACACCUGGACUCCAUUACCUUCCUCAUUACCUUACAUUUGUUCCUCAGUUGGUAUUGUUCCUGUGUUCAUGCUUUUUCCCCACUGUGAUGUUAUCUCGGUUCAUGGGUUACUAAAUGUUUCACCUGCUUCUCGACUCACAGCGUCUUUGUUACAGAAUACCGACUCAAAAUAGGGAAGCAGCAGGAAAUUCAAAUAUCUCUCAGAUGGUCGAUGAACAGGGUUAUCUUCUACGUCAACACCAUGACCAGCUGGCACAACUGGGAUCGGCUAUGGAGGUUCUUCGUGGUAUGCAACGUCUCAAACACACCCGAGAGGCGUCGCCUUCAUCCAGUGGAGGAUACUCUUCAGCCAGUCGACCCAGCACAUCAGUGACCCCCACUCAGGUCGCUGAGGCACUCUUGUGACAUUAUGGCCUUCUGGAGGACAUCGUCUCUGACCGUGGCCCCGAAUUCACAUCACGAGUAUGGAGGGCCUUUAGGGAGACGUUCGGGGUCACGGUCAGCCUCACUUCCGGGUUACCGGCUUCAGACAAACGGGCAGGUAGAGGCUGAACCAGGAGCUCAGGAGUUUCCUGAACAGUGACUGUCAGGACCGGCAGGUGUGUUUUGAGGUAUCAGCCAGCCCUGGCUCCGUGGACCCUGAGCCAGACCAACGCUCCUGCGGUUGAUGAGUGGUUUCGGCGUGUAGAAGUGUGGCAUGACGCUCUUCCUGUGUUCCAUCCUGGGGAUCACGUCUGGCUUUAUACCAGGAACCUCCCACUCCACCUGCCCUGCAAGAAACUGAGCCCCUGGUUUGCGGGGCUGUUCAAGGUUCUCUGGAGGGUCAAUGAGGUGAUGUUUUGGUUACAGCUUCCCAGUCACUAUCGAAUCUCACCCGCUUUUUAUGUUUCCUCAGGCCGGUGGUUCCUGGUCCUCUAGCUGUUGCUGCCCCCCCCCCCCGGACAUCGAGGGGAGUCUGACAUAUGCUGUCAGAGCCCUACUGGACUCCUGGUGUCGUGGGGGUCAGCUCCAGUACCUGGUGGACUGGGAGGGGUAUGUAGGGUUCCGGUGGAGGACUUUCUGGAUCCCAACAUCAGCCGUGAUUUCCACCUUCGCCGUCCAGACCGAUCUGCUCCUCAGGGUUGUCCUCUUGGUCGGCGUCGUCCUGCAGCAGGAGCCGCGCGUCGGGGGGCUACUGUCACUUCUGCUCCUCUGGCAUUUGACUUUGCCGGAAUACUAACCACCGGUCCUGGGAUUCUUCAUUACACGCACAUGUUGAUCAUUAUGAUUCACACCUCUUAUCGGUCCCUCCCUUAUGUUUGUUCCUCAGUCGGUAUUCAUGCCACUAAUCUCGUUUCAUGUUUGUUUUAUUAAACGUUUCAC